rnacentral:lncRNA from 1 species
UCCACAGGACUGCUGUGUAUUCUGUUUGGCCUGGUCAUGGCAGUGGCCCAUAGAAUGCAGCCUCACAGACUGAAAGCUUUCUUUAAUCAGAGUUCAGAGGACCCAGUGCUGGAGUGGGGCUCUGAAGAAGGGGGACUCUUGAGCCCCCACUACCUGUCCAUAGCUGAAAGUCCUGAGACCCAGGACAUUCCCAUGUCAGAGGCUUCCUCUGAGACAAUUUAU